rnacentral:rRNA from 1 species
UACGAAGGGGGGCUAGCGUUGCUCGGAAUUACUGGGCGUAAAGCGCACGUAGGCGGUCUUUUAAGUCGGGGGUGAAAUCCUGGAGCUCAACUCCAGAACUGCCUUCGAUACUGGAAGACUUGAGUCCGGGAGAGGUGAGUGGAACUGCGAGUGUAGAGGUGAAAUUCGUAGAUAUUCGCAAGAACACCAGUGGCGAAGGCGGCUUACUGGCUGAAACUGACGCUGAGGCGCGAAAGCGUGGGGAGCAAACAGGG